rnacentral:rRNA from 1 species
AGGACGAACGCUGGCGGCGUGCUUAACACAUGCAAGUCGAACGGAAAGGCCCUUUCGGGGGUACUCGAGUGGCGAACGGGUGAGUAACACGUGGGUGAUCUGCCCUGCACUUUGGGAUAAGCCUGGGAAACUGGGUCUAAUACCGAAUACACCUUGCUGGCUGCAUGGCCUGGUGGGGGAAAGCUUUUGCGGUGUGGGAUGGGCCCGCGGCCUAUCAGCUUGUUGGUGGGGUGAUGGCCUACCAAGGCGACGACGGGUAGCCGGCCUGAGAGGGUGUCCGGCCACACUGGGACUGAGAUACGGCCCAGACUCCUACGGGAGGCAGCAGUGGGGAAUAUUGCACAAUGGGCGCAAGCCUGAUGCAGCGACGCCGCGUGAGGGAUGACGGCCUUCGGGUUGUAAACCUCUUUCAGUAUCGACGAAGCGCAAGUGACGGUAGGUACAGAGAAGCACCGGCCAACUACGUGCCAGCAGCCGC